GGGCAUUGAUGACGAUAACUAUACCAUCAAACUAUGAGAGCUCAAUACUGAGCUUGUUGAUGUUCAUUAAUCAUUACUCUCUGAGCCC